GGCGCAGGAAAGGUUGCUUGCCUGAAUUCAGGGCUGCAGCCGAACUGGUUCCUCUGCCACUGCCAGCCAUGGGACUCGUGGAGUGGCAGAGAGGGAUGGAGGCUGCCUAAAGCCACUCAAGGCACCCUGUGGCUGGUGGGGCUGCCGUGGGUCCUGCUGGGACACAGCGGGGAGAAGAGCACUUCCCGGUGCUCUGCAGUGGCCAGCUGUCCUCUUCCCCUCUUCCAGACCUGGAACAUCUCCUGCUCUUUAGUUCCUGCUGUGCCUCUUCUGCUUGCCCAGAGCGCAGUGCUGCUGGUUAUCCCUCCCUCAUGGAAGUCACGGAGGCCUGACCCUGUGUGCUGGCUGCUGUUAAUGUUACUGACUCCAGCACCAACUCCCAUGAAAGCCAGGCUGGGGCCCCCCUGCAGGCAGAUCCCUACUGGAGGAGACUCUGUGGCUGUGCAUCUGACAAGGAGAGGUGUUGGAUAUGCCUUCUCCCAGGCUGCGCUGAGUCCCUGGCACAUCCUCCAAAUGGGUGUUUAAUCAGAAUCCAAGGUAGAGAGCAGACAGGUUUCACCUCUUUAAUCACCACCACUGAAGUAUUUCCACCAUACUGCAGUGCAUGGGGGAGAUUCUUUAUCCCUCCUGGAGCCAUCUCCACAUCUCCUUCAGUUGCCAAGGCACGGUGUUGGUUACAGGAGCAGACUUGGGCAUGACUGAGGAGGCCAAAGCUGGAGCUAUUACCUGGUCAGGAGGCUAAGUGGCACAUCCCUGGAUAUCCAGUGCCAGGAUAUCCAGGAUACCCAGUGCCUUGAGACGCAGCAGCAUCAUCUCUGGCCAUCAACCAGAACUGAGGGGUGAAUGCUGCAGUUUUCCCUCUCACCCAGCCCUGGGAAAAGCACUGAGACCUGUACAUCAGAUCUUCUCCCUCCUCUCCCCAGGUGGAAAUGGGGAAGUAAAAACCUUAAUCCCUCCCUCUCCUGGACACAAUGGGAAAGAGAAGCUGUCUUUGCUUUCCACUACCUUGCAGCUGAAAGGAGGAGGAGAAAAGUGAAUGUGGAAAAGGAGAAAGGAGAGGCUUUGGGCAUGGAGAUUCCCCUCAAUGACCACUCUGGAGUCUGCUGAAACCUGAAAUGAGUUGGGUGGGCAGUCUGCAUUGUGGCACCCCUGGUUGUAGAGAAAGAUUUUCCUGACUCAUACAGUAACAGUACAGGGCAAUCUGGGAAGGCAACCCAGAGAAAAAUCUGUCCCACCUGUGGUUGUGUCAGGGGUGUUGCUGGUUGUUAUUUAUAACAUUUAAUUAUUAUUUUUUAACUUGUCCCAGUUCUUCCCAGGCAGAGAAGGUCAUUCCAGCCAUUGCCCAGGAAAGAAGAUGGUGUUAAACUGGU